AGUUUUAAGGAAACAAGUCAUAAAUCCUUCUGAAUCCUGACCACUAGUACGAACAACCUGCACCUACAACAUGACUGCGUACAGAACCUUGCUUCUUAUACUCCUCUUUCUAACAGCUGUGAUCUCGGACAAACCCCACGUUGCUCUAAAGUUUGGUUAUGAUACCUCAAGUUAUAUAAUGAUUGCCCCGGACAUGUCCCCACUGGAGGAGCAGGUGUCAAUCUGUGCCUGGAUAAAGAAACUGAGUCCCACUUCUCGUAGAGGAGUGUGGCUUCAUUACAGGACUGUGGUUAGUAGCAGUGAGAUAUUUCUCUCUGAUAACCUUGGCUGGGCUUAUCUCUUGUCUGGCAACACUCCAAAGAGUCAGACUCCGGUACAUUCAGAGUGGUACCAUAUUUGCAUUACAUGGUCUUACAGCAGCGGGAAGAAGACCCUCUUCUACAAUGGCGUGCAGAGUGGGACUGCCUCGUCGCGCUCUGGACAGAAGUUCUCUGUCGCAACCGGCUCUCUCGUUAUCGGACAAUAUCAUAACACCUACAAGAUGGAGGCUUCGUUUUAUAGUGGCAACUCAUUCGGAGGUGAAAUCACAAAGUUGAACAUCCUGAAAAGAGAACUGACCGAACAAGAGGUAGCCAAAAUGUACAAGUCAGGGAUCUGUUCCAGCUUUGAAGAAACGCUUGAAACUGACACCCACCUUUCGUGGGAGACGCUACUUUCCGAUGAUACCGAAAAACAUGGAAACAUUGUGAAGUUAAACUUGACCUGUCCUGAUCACACGCACGAGCCAACCACUGGGAUUCCUACCACGGCUGCACCAACCACUGCUGUACCAACCACUGCUGUACCAACCACUGCUGUACCAACUGAAGAAUCGGAGGGGGGCUGCAACAACCGCUGGGCAAUCCUCCGACUGCCUGAGUUCUAUAAUAAGGAAGUGACAGCCACCAUGAUGCAAGAUUUGAGGGAAAGAUGGGAACUUUUAGCUGAGUUUGAAGGGCAUGUCAUAGAUGAUAGCUUAAUAUCCCACCUGAAGGAACAUCACUGUACCAACGAACAAUAAUAACUCUCGCGGUACCUAGUCUGUUGUCAUUUUUAGGUUUUGGGCGUUUAAAAAAAAACGAUAUAAAGGCUAUCUUUUCAUUUACCACCUGAUAAAACCUAAAUAUUCACCACUUCUUAAAAUGAUAUAUUUGUCACCUUAACAUAUAAUUCUCUCCCUGCAGAUUUACGAAACCAGGAAAAGACACAAUAAUACGGAGCUUAAGAUGAGGAUUUAUUAAGCUAGUGACAUUUCUGGCUUCACUGGUGACAUUAUGUGAACAUUCUAUGAACGAUAUACAUUUUUAUAAUGAACUCAACGAAACAGCGUAAAGAAUCUAUUAGAUAAAUUUCUGGUUUUAAUUACUUUAAGUUUAACUUAAUCAUUACGGUUUGAUGAACUCUUAUUGAUGCGGUCAACUAUAAUACACAGCUUCGUAUAGCUGUAUAGUGUUAUAAGAGUUAAUAAUUUUAAAAAUAAGAUACAACUUAUUUAGCUAGUAAAACUUCGAUGGUGACAUAAUGCGAACUUUCUCUAAGUCUAAAUAAUAUUUUAGUAUUAACGGUUUCUGAUUUUAUAAUGAACUAAUUUAUAAUUUACAAUUAAUUUGGGGAUAUAUUUUUGAUUCACGUGAGUUACGACGUUAAAUUAAAUAAUUUUUGUUUUAGAAUAUGAAUGAAUCGAUUAAUAUCAGUUGGAAAUAUUUCUCCU